UGCCAGGUGAAUGAAGUUAGCCCCUCAAAAAAAUUUUUUUUUCCUGUUUUCUACUUAUUUUCUAUUAAUUCGUUUGUUCAUCAUUUGUUCUUGAUUGUUCACUGUUAAUAAUUGUUUGUUCCCCAUUUAUUUAUUUUUAAAAAAAUAUUAAAAAUAUAUCUAAAAGUUAGCCCCUCGAUUGCAAUCUUUAAUAUUUUUUCGUCCUUAAUUACUCGUAAAUAUUCAUUUUCGAUUGUUCUUAUAUAAAAUACGUUUGUUCUCUUUCGAAAUUACUCAUUUUUUGUUUAAUUAAUUGUAUUAGUUGAAUAAAUGUAUACAAAAUAUGUGUACUGCGCAUGCCAUAAGUGUAUAAUCUAUGGCGCAUGCGUCAACUAUAAUGCCUAAACUUUCUACGCGGUUUUAAUCGUGAAAAAAAAAACAAUUAUAAAUCCUGAAGGAUCAAUUAAUUGGUAUACAGUUUAAUUAAAAAAAUUAAAAACAAAAUAAAUAAAAUAAUGUGCAUUCGCGUAAAGUUAGACCAAAUACAUUUUUUCCAUCCUCCUAUAUACCUAUCGCUAUGAAGGUAUAAAAAAGAUAGGUUUAAGAGUUCACAUAGGUAAUAUAAACAAAUAAGUAAAUAUGUUCAUUAUUUAUCUUUCAAGAGAUAAUGUAGGUAUACAUUAUAAUAACAUUUUGACACAGUCGAAAUUAUAUUCCUAACAUUAGUAAAAUAACAUUUUAAUAUUUUUUUUAUAGGUUAUGUAUUGAAAUUGUUGGAAAAUUAUUUCAUGUUUUAGCUGGAAAACUACAUGGAGAAUUAUAUGCAAUACAAGAUAAUGAGCUCCAUCAAAUGAAUUCGAAUGAAACCAAACUGUUUACCAUCCAAAUUCGAUUGUCGGGCAGAUAGAAAACGAAAAUUCACUCAUAGUGAACCUCGGCCUGCAUUUGUGAAACGGCAAAGACUCACUAUUAUCAAGGAAAUUGAAGAGACGACUAAAAAUGAGAUGUGUCGUAUUAUUAUACCUUUGCCAUCUUGUAGUCAAGAUGUCCAGCCACUUGAAAAUAGGUGUAGUAAUGACAAAGCUAUCCAAGUAGCUCCAGCACAGGAACACAAAGGCAAGGCAAGUGUGUAUUGCCACAUCACCCCUUAAUAUAUCUGAAGCAAGUAUAAGUAAACAAUCAGAACCAGCAAAAAAAAAACUGUUGUUCCUGAGGACAAAUUUAACAGUGAUGAGUCAAAUGCACCAGCAACAGAAGGAUCAACUGUUGACUAUGAGUUAUCUCUCUAUAUCUCCACUCCAUCAAAGACUUGUGCACUUCAGACUAUAGCUCUCAAGAAGACUAAAAAAUUGAAAAAAUGAAUGUGUUAACAACUUUAUCUAAAGUGAAAAAUAAACAAUGUUUAUAUAUUGGUCUUCCACAAGAAUUAUGUUUCAUAAUAGGCUUGAUUGAGAAACAUACAAAUGUUUCUGAACAAAAUAUUAUAUUAUGUCUGAUGAGAAUAACAUUAAAUAGAACAUUCUCUCAAUUGGCUGAUGAUUUCGAUUUAUCUGUAAGUCAAGCAAGCAAUAUAUUUUUCAACAAACUCCCAGAAAUUGCAAAUGUAAUAUCACCCCUUGUUAGACUAUAAAAAAAACAAUACAAUAAAUAUUUAUGCAGGAAGGAUAAUUGAUGUCAACUUGGUGGAAAAUAGAAAGUUUUUAGAUAGUUUGCCACCUACAAAACUCUUUAAUUAAAUAAGUAAUCCUUACUUAUAAAUAGGAAGUUUUGUAAGUAUUUUCACUCUUCAUUCAAAAACUACUGAACAGAUUUUAAUAAGACUUAUGCUGGUCUUCUAUGGCUAGCAACUCAUUAUUAUUUUGAUUCUGUUUUCCACAAAUGUGCUAAAUAUGGGCUUAUAUAUAUGAAAAGGAAUAAAUAUUAAUGUUAUGUAACCUUUGUACCUGUAUGUUAAGAAUAAUUUUUAAUAAAACAUAAUUUAAAUUGAAA